rnacentral:rRNA from 1 species
UACGAAGGGGGCUAGCGUUGCUCGGAAUCACUGGGCGUAAAGCGCACGUAGGCGGACUCUUAAGUCGGUGGUGAAAUCCUGGAGCUCAACUCCAGAACUGCCUUCGAUACUGAGAGUCUCGAGUCCGGGAGAGGUGAGUGGAACUGCGAGUGUAGAGGUGAAAUUCGUAGAUAUUCGCAAGAACACCAGUGGCGAAGGCGGCUCACUGGCCCGGUACUGACGCUGAGGUGCGAAAGUGUGGGGAGCAAACAGG